UAGAGUGUUUGCUCAUCUGCAGUUCGUCUGUAAGAUGUUUCCUAUCAGAUGUCAAAUAUACAUCUAUUAGAUGUGGAGCAUCAGACCUGGAAUGAUUUGAUGAAGGUCCACAGCAGGUUGCGAAUGCCCUCGAAACGGUUGAGCAGUUUCACCAGACGCAUGACACGGAAAAGCCGGAAGAGUGUGAUUGAUACGCUCAUAUUCUCAGAGUCCUGAGGAAUCAAGAAAAUGCUUGAGAAUCUGUGGAUAACACCGGCAUAGAUCUUCUUGAACAGCCAGUGAGACAAUACAGUCCACCCUGAGCAGCAAGAGCCGCCUGGAAAUAAAGAAAAUACCAGAGGAAAUGAGUGAAAGCCAAUAUCAGCCCUCCCAGUGAAUGACACAACAGACACAUGGUGUUGAGCAUGAUGAGGAGAAACAUCAGGUACUCGAAGUAGCAAGAAGUGACGAUGUACCACACUUUGUACUGAUGAGGGUUUUUAGGGAUGUAGCAUCUCAGAGGUCGGGCCUUCAGUGCGUACUGGACACACUGACGCUGCGAAGGUGACGAUAACGAAGCCCACAAAGAUGUUCAUCAUGAAGAAGGCGAUGAGGAUGAGCUCCAGGCCUAUGAUGGCAUAGAUGGUGACCAUGAAGAAGACCAGCAGAGAGAUGUGGAACAGGGGCAGCAUGGAUUUGAGAAUGGAGCUCAUCACCACCUGCAGGCCUGGAGGAGACAUUACACUUGAACCUGCCAACUGGAGAUAUGAGACAGGUGAGCAGAGUAAGGUGAUGAUGGGACUUACUGGGGACCCCAGAGACGAGCCUCAGGGGCCGCAGGACUCUAAACGCUCGGAGGGCUUUCAUGUCAAACCCUCCUUUCUGUUCCACCGGUGCCUCCACGCCGCUGAUGUUAUUGAUGAAGUCCACAACAACAGUGAACAACCUGAGAGGCGUCACACAGAUACUUCCACUCUACAAUGUUAAUGCAGGCCUUGCGGAAGGGGUUCUUCAGCGUGAGGAAGAGGAGGGAUCUCGCCGGCCGUGGGUUUCCACCUGUGGCCUGGAGCUUCU